AGAAAAUGUCCUUGUCAUGAAAAUGACUAUUCAUUACACCAACUGCGAAAGUUGUAAUUUUCGCUUCCCGAAUGAGAUGCGAAAGUAUAAAAAUUCAACUCUCAGUUAGCCACGACAUCACAAGAGGUGCGAAAAUACUUUCGCCUCCCAACAGAGGAGCGAAAGUACUUUCGCCCCUCAAACGAGGAUGCGAAAGUAAAUGACAGCAACAACAUGUGUUCCGUCUGGUGUCGUUGUGAUCACUGUGAUUGUUGUGAUAGAAAAGAACGUUGCCAAUAAUUUAUACAUUUUUCAUAUUUCAGCUUAUUUGGGUACAUUUCAUCAGUUGGAACAUUAUAAGGAAGCUCAAAUUACAAUUUUCGUAGUUGUUGUAAUGAAAAGUUGUGUGGAUCACAUGG